GCACCGUGGGCUGAUCGGUUUAGGCGUACGACUCAUAAUCGUAAUUAGGCAGGUUCAACUCCUGCACGGUGCA
rnacentral:tRNA from 1 species